UACAGAGGGGGCAAGCGUUAUUCGGAAUUAUUGGGCGUAAAGGGCGCGUAGGCGGCUUUGCAAGUGGCGGGUGAAAUCCCUCGGCUUAACCGAGGAACUGCCUGUCAAACUGCAUGGCUUGAGACCGGGAGAGGUGAGUGGAAUUCCCAGUGUAGCGGUGAAAUGCGUAGAUAUUGGGAGGAACACCAGUGGCGAAGGCGGCUUUCUGGGACGGUACUGACGCUGAGACGCGAAAGCGUGGGGAGCGAACGGG
rnacentral:rRNA from 1 species